UAAGAUUUAGUUAGAUUUUUAAUAUAACAUUAAAUUGUCAGUUUAAAGUAAUUUUAAUUUUUAAAAUAUUCUUAA
rnacentral:tRNA from 1 species